GCGGCGACGUUUUGGGCAAUGGCUCCUUCACAGAAGGCCUCUCGAUGUGCUGUGAAGAAGGGCCAUUGCCUGAAACGUUGCGUA
rnacentral:pre_miRNA from 1 species